CUUGUCAAGGCGAUAAUCUUGUGACUCACUGUCACGAGGGAGGCUUCUCUUUCAAGCCAGCCACAAUCGUAAUCCACUCACUCCUGGGUCUGUGCUUGCUCCUGCAGACGGGAGGGCACCUCCUGGCUUUGUUGGUACCUUCAGGAGCACAUCAGAAACUACUGGAUUCAAAUGAGGGUAGUGAGAUCCUGGUGUCCUUUACUAUUGAAUUGUAAAUUCAAUGUGAGCAGCAAUAACGGAUACAUAAACCCAACCUUUUCCCAAAGUAAUCGAAAAAUGUGGAUUAUUUGCACGCCCUCUUCGGUCGUGGAGGCUUAGGCGAAAUGGAUAAACACUGGCAGUGAUUACACGAACGAAAUGGAAAUUGCGGUAUUCCCACGUCGAACGUAUAUAUUUAUACUUCUAACUGCAAAUAGAGGGCUGUGUCCGCCAAGCCAUUAGCACCGCGGGGAAGAAAAGCAGAAGGGGAUGAAGGCGUCGCCUCCCCGGCGGUGAAUUAGCAGCAUCG
rnacentral:lncRNA from 1 species